AACGAACGCUGGCGGCAGGCUUAACACAUGCAAGUCGAACGCCCCGCAAGGGGAGUGGCGCACGGGUGAGUAACGCGUGGGAAUAUGCCCUUCGGUUCGGAAUAACACAGGGAAACUUGUGCUAAUACCGGAUACGAUCUACGGAUGAAAGAUUUAUCGCCGAGGGAGUAGCCCGCGUAGGAUUAGCUAGUUGGUGAGGUAAUGGCUCACCAAGGCGACGAUCCUUAGCUGGUCUGAGAGGAUGAUCAGCCACACUGGGACUGAGACACGGCCCAGACUCCUACGGGAGGCAGCAGUGGGGAAUAUUGGACAAUGGGGGAAACCCUGAUCCAGCCAUGCCGCGUGAGUGAUGAAGGCCUUAGGGUUGUAAAGCUCUUUCGCCAGGGAAGAUAAUGACGGUACCUGGAAAAGAAGCCUCGGCUAACUCCGUGCCAGCCGCCGCGGUAAGAC
rnacentral:rRNA from 1 species